rnacentral:lncRNA from 1 species
UUCUAUUAUCUAGACACACGGCAGUGUGUCUUUUAUUUAUUUAUUUAUUUAUUUAGGCACACCAACAACUAUUUACAAAUACGUUCACAUAAUAUACGUUUACAAUUGUAAUAGUCCUGCGUAAAUAUGUCAAUUAUAGGUGCGCACAACGUUCAAAUUAAAAAUAACUUAAAUUAAACUAAACUAAACCAAACUAUGCAUAACAAAAAUAAUAAUAAAAAAAAAAAAGAAGAAGAAUCGAUACGAGGCAAAUUACAAGGGAUCAUGGAAAAUGUCAAAAUUGUCUGAGCUCCCGCACAAAGAGUUAUAUUCACUGCAAAUUCGUGCCAUAGGCGAGCGUUUACCAACAUUGGUUCUGUAAAAUGGAAUGUGGAAUGGUUUGGUGAUUGGGUAUCGCGGUAUUCUGGUGGGAACAGCAAGUUUGAUGUGAUGAACUAAUUCGCUACAAUCUGUCUUUCCAUUAAUGAGUUUGUGUAAGAAUUGAAUGUCAUGAAUUUUGCGACGAUUAUGGAGAGUAUUCAUUUUAAAGAAAUGUAGUCUUUGGUAGUAUGGGACCCUAUGUGAAAUUCCGGACGAGAUAUACGCCAGAUGUCUGGUAAACGCUCGUUGGAUACUCUCAAUCCUCUGAGAUUGCACAGCAUAUAUGGGAUUCCACACUUCAGAGGCAAAUUCCAGAUGACUUUGUACAAGACUAUAAUAUAAUAUUUUUUUUGUCCGUAUAAGACGAAACUCUUUGGUAUUUCUUUUUAUGAAUCCUAACAUCCGAGCUCCUUUUUUUGCUGCCGCGUUAAUAUGUGAGGAAAAGGUUAAUUUACUGUCUAUAAUAACACC